rnacentral:tRNA from 1 species
UAGCUGAGUGGUAAAGCGCUUGACUUUCGAAUCGGGCUUCCCAGGUUCGAAUCUUGG